GGACUGUACGGUGUUUUGGAAGAAUCAAUUUGUGAAGGUUAUCUCUUCCUCUGCUGCCAAACUAGCCAUCUUCUAACCCCACAUCUAUCCCUCUGCUUGUCCUCGCCCUGAGUGACUCUCACAACGCACCAACCCAGCAACACAGGGCGACCAGAAUGCGGACACCGUGCUCCAGAAGACUCUCACCAACGGCCCUGUACAACCUCAACAUGACACCCCCAACUCCGACACUCAAAGGGUAUGAGCGAUGACGGUAUAGCGCCAGAAGACUGGAGAGAGGCAAACGUCAUUCCCUUGUUCAAAAAAGGGAAUAGGGAUAACCCUGGAAAUUACAGGUCAGUUAGUCUUAUGUCAGUGGUGGGUAAAUUACUGGAAAGGGCUCUGAGAGAUAGGAUUUAUGAUCACUUGGAAACGCAGUUUGAUUCAUGACAGUCAGCAUGGAUUUGUGAGGGGUAGAUCAUACCUCACAAACCUUACUGAAUUCUUUGAAGAGGUGACCAAACACGUGGAUGAAGAUAGAGCAGUGGAUGUGGUAUACAUGGAUUUAAGUAAGGCGUUUGAUAAGGUUCCCCAUGGUAGGCUCAUGCAGAA